AUUAUUUUUUUUUUUUUUUUUUGAGAAGGCCUUCAUCUUUUGUGUCUCAACCUGUCCAUGUCCAUCUGUAUUUAUGUCAUUUCAUCCUUCCCUCCAUUGAUCUGUGCAUCUUUUGGCUAAUUAUAACUUCAACAAUUGCUCAUAAAAAUUCUUCUCUGCAGCUUUGUCUGCCUGUCCUCAUGUGCUGUCAAAUAAAGGCAUUGUGACGCAUUUUUACAUUGAUGAAUGUAUGCCAUUUCGAAUUAUUGUUCGUGUUGAAUCUGCAAAAGUAUACAACUUGUUAAGAUGAUACAUAUGCAUGUGAGCAUGUGCAUGCAGAAUCAUGAUUUCUGGAUUAUGGUUAAACAAUUUGGAACUUUCAAUUUGAAGUUCCUUUUAUUCUCACUGUACAUCUGGUACUGCAGGUA
rnacentral:misc_RNA from 1 species